rnacentral:misc_RNA from 1 species
GUAUUGAUUGCGUGUGAUCGCAAAUAAAAUAAAAGACAUUCUACACUACUUCAAGUUUGUGUUAAAACGCAAGCCCCCCUUCUGGACGAGCCAGAGAGGGACCCACGCGGUGGUGCACAAAGGGUGAGAUGGAUUGUGUGAGAGCACUUGGGCGUGCACGACCGAAAAGGUCAGCGACAGCCCUCGCACCUCGGUUUUACAAUAAUGAUCCUUCCGCAGGUUCACCUACGGAAA